rnacentral:lncRNA from 1 species
GGAGAAAGCCAGCAGUGGGCAGAUGCCACCUCCUGUUGGGAGAAGGGAAGGAUCGCUCUUGGCUGCUGGUGUCUGGGGAUGAUGAAGGGCCUGAAAUUCGCCGUGCACACACUGGCAUAGCUCUUCACUCUUUGCUGUUAAAGAAAUUGUCUUCUGACUCUAGCAAGGGAAGAAAGUGGACAGCUUUCCUCCAUAGUCUCCAUCCCAUUACAGGUCCAGCUCAAAGGUGUGUUAGCAAGAUACAGUAGCCCACUGUGCAGUGGUCAGUGUGUGCGUCUCCAAGUUACAGCACUAGUUACCCACCACACGCCACUGGCUCUGGGGACAUUCUCAACUAAGGGCGAAAACUAGCAGAAUAAGAAAUUUUACCAUGGAAUUUUGCUUACUAAACAGCAUUUUCUUUUAUUUUUCUCCUCUGUCUCCUAUUCAGGCUAACUAGGCCCAGGGAAAAGUAUCCUGUGUUCAUUUCACCAAAGGCAGAUUUUCUUCUGCUAUUCAUGGACGGAAGCAAUUCUAAAUGCUGGACUCCGGCACCUCUUCCCUUCCUUUUCCAUAGAGUCUUCUGGAGCAAAAUCAUAAUUAAGCAUAAAAUGUGUGGUGUUAUUCCAAGUAUAUGUUGCUGCUUAGCUGUCCUCUCCAUCUUUUGCUAUCACGAUCACAGCACGGUCAUUGCCCAGAGGAACAUCUAUGUUUUAAUUACAUUGAAAUGUGUAAUAAUAUGCCUUCGGGUAAUACUUAAUAAACUUGCAGUAUGAGC